rnacentral:rRNA from 1 species
CUAGCUGUAAACGAUGGUCACUAGGUGUGGGUGGUGGUCAAGCCAUCCGUGCCGGAGCUAACGCACUAAGUGACCCACCUGGGGAGUACGACCGCAAGGUUGAAACUCAAAGGAAUUGACGGGGGCCCGCACAAGCGGUGGAGCAUGUGGUUUAAUUCGAAGCUACGCGAAGAACCUUACCAGGCCUUGACAUAUAAGUGGUAGAGCCCCGAAAGGGAAUCGACUGUUGGGAAACCAAUAGAGCUUAUACAGGUGG